UCCUACGGGAGGCAGCAGUGGGGAAUUUUCCGCAAUGGGCGAAAGCCUGACGGAGCAACGCCGCGUGAGGGAUGAAGGCCUCUGGGCUGUAAACCUCUUUUAUCAAGGAAGAAGAUCUGACGGUACUUGAUGAAUAAGCCACGGCUAAUUCCGUGCCAGCAGCCGCGGUAAUACGGGAGUGGCAAGCGUUAUCCGGAAUUAUUGGGCGUAAAGCGUCCGCAGGCGGUCUGUCAAGUCUGCUGUUAAAGCGUGGAGCUUAACUCCAUUUCGGCAGUGGAAACUGACAGACUAGAGUGUGGUAGGGGCAGAGGGAAUUCCCGGUGUAGCGGUGAAAUGCGUAGAUAUCGGGAAGAACACCAGUGGCGAAGGCGCUCUGCUGGGCCAUAACUGACGCUCAUGGACGAAAGCCAGGGGAGCGAAAGGGAUUAGAUACCCCUGUAGUCCUGGCCGUAAACGAUGAACACUAGGUGUCGGGGGAAUCGACCCCCUCGGUGUCGUAGCCAACGCGUUAAGUGUUCCGCCUGGGGAGUACGCACGCAAGUGUGAAACUCAAAUGAAUUGACGG
rnacentral:rRNA from 1 species